rnacentral:rRNA from 1 species
GACGAACGCUGGCGGCGUGCCUAAUACAUGCAAGUAGAACGCUGAAGAGAGGAGCUUGCUCUUCUUGGAUGAGUUGCGAACGGGUGAGUAACGCGUAGGUAACCUGCCUUGUAGCGGGGGAUAACUAUUGGAAACGAUAGCUAAUACCGCAUAACAAUGGAUGACACAUGUCAUUUAUUUGAAAGGGGCAAUUGCUCCACUACAAGAUGGACCUGCGUUGUAUUAGCUAGUAGGUGAGGUAAUGGCUCACCUAGGCGACGAUACAUAGCCGACCUGAGAGGGUGAUCGGCCACACUGGGACUGAGACACGGCCCAGACUCCUACGGGAGGCAGCAGUAGGGAAUCUUCGGCAAUGGGGGCAACCCUGACCGAGCAACGCCGCGUGAGUGAAGAAGGUUUUCGGAUCGUAAAGCUCUGUUGUAAGUCAAGAACGGGUGUGAGAGUGGAAAGUUCACACUGUGACGGUAGCUAACCAGAAAGGGACGGCUAACUACGCGCCAGCAGCCGCGGUAAUACGUAGGUCCCGAGCGUUGUCCGGAUUUAUUGGGCGUAAAGCGAGCGCAGGCGGUUUGAUAAGUCUGAAGUUAAAGGCUGUGGCUCAACCAUAGUUCGCUUUGGAAACUGUCAAACUUGAGUGCAGAAGGGGAGAGUGGAAUUCCAUGUGUAGCGGUGAAAUGCGUAGAUAUAUGGAGGAACACCGGUGGCGAAAGCGGCUCUCUGGUCUGUAACUGACGCUGAGGCUCGAAAGCGUGGGGAGCGAACAGGAUUAGAUACCCUGGUAGUCCACGCCGUAAACGAUGAGUGCUAGGUGUUGGAUCCUUUCCGGGAUUCAGUGCCGCAGCUAACGCAUUAAGCACUCCGCCUGGGGAGUACGACCGCAAGGUUGAAACUCAAAGGAAUUGACGGGGGCCCGCACAAGCGGUGGAGCAUGUGGUUUAAUUCGAAGCAACGCGAAGAACCUUACCAGGUCUUGACAUCCCGAUGCUAUUUCUAGAGAUAGAAAGUUACUUCGGUACAUCGGUGACAGGUGGUGCAUGGUUGUCGUCAGCUCGUGUCGUGAGAUGUUGGGUUAAGUCCCGCAACGAGCGCAACCCCUAUUGUUAGUUGCCAUCAUUCAGUUGGGCACUCUAGCGAGACUGCCGGUAAUAAACCGGAGGAAGGUGGGGAUGACGUCAAAUCAUCAUGCCCCUUAUGACCUGGGCUACACACGUGCUACAAUGGUUGGUACAACGAGUUGCGAGUCGGUGACGGCGAGCUAAUCUCUUAAAGCCAAUCUCAGUUCGGAUUGUAGGCUGCAACUCGCCUACAUGAAGUCGGAAUCGCUAGUAAUCGCGGAUCAGCACGCCGCGGUGAAUACGUUCCCGGGCCU